CCUACGGGUGGCAGCAGUGGGGAAUAUUGGACAAUGGGCGAAAGCCUGAUCCAGCCAUGCCGCGUGUGUGAAGAAGGCCUUCGGGUUGUAAAGCACUUUCAGUGGGGAAGAAAGCCUUUGGGCUAAUACCCUCGAGGAAGGACAUCACCCACAGAAGAAGCACCGGCUAACUCCGUGCCAGCAGCCGCGGUAAUACGGAGGGUGCGAGCGUUAAUCGGAAUUACUGGGCGUAAAGCGCGCGUAGGCGGUCUGAUAAGCCGGUUGUGAAAGCCCCGGGCUCAACCUGGGAACGGCAUCCGGAACUGUCAGGCUAGAGUGCAGGAGAGGAAGGUAGAAUUCCAGGUGUAGCGGUGAAAUGCGUAGAGAUCGGGAGGAAUACCAGUGGCGAAGGCGGCCUUCUGGACUGACACUGACGCUGAGGUGCGAAAGCGUGGGUAGCAAACAGGAUUAGAUACCCUUGUAGUC
rnacentral:rRNA from 1 species